CUUUUGCGGAUUUCUUCGGAUUGAAGCAAUUGUGACUGAGCGGCGGACGGGUGAGUAACGCGUGGGUAACCUGCCUCAUACAGGGGGAUAACAGUUGGAAACGGCUGCUAAUACCGCAUAAGCGCACAGUACCGCAUGGUCCGGUGUGAAAAACUCCGGUGGUAUAGGAUGGACCCGCGUUGGAUUAGCCAGUUGGCAGGGUAACGGCCUACCAAGGCGACGAUCAGUAGCCGACCUGAGAGGGUGACCGGCCACAUUGGGACUGAGACACGGUCCAAACUCC
rnacentral:rRNA from 1 species